AAAAUUGAAUAAUAUAAUCACGGCAUAUAUCACAUAUAUGCUUAAAAGGAAUGAGGGAAGAGGAAAACCUUUUUGAAAUAAGAUAGAGGUUAGCCUGUAUGAGCCUCGCGCUGACCGGCGCUGUGAGUGUGAGAGCAGACUGAAGAACUCCUGCAGGGUGCAGAGAUGUUUUAACUUAUAAUAGUUUCCACUGUAUGAAUAUGGGAAGGUAAGUCAUGCUCGCAAAUUUUAACACAAGCCAGAAGACAGGUGAUUAAAAGCUGCCUUAG
rnacentral:ncRNA from 1 species